GUUCUGUCAUUUGGAUUUCUUCAGCAACAUUACUUCAGUACUUUGUAACUAUUUGCUUUCAUGUUAUUCCUUUUUAGGUUGGUAGACAUAGUCCAGCAGGAGCUGUUAUUGGCCAAUCAGUUUUCAAAACUGAAGGUGAACGUUACUAAAUCUCUUGUUAGUUGGAGCAGUUAUAUAGAGUGAGUAAAGAAGGCAAUGACAACUGUUGGAGUAGGAGGAAAAAAGGAAAAAGAAAACACAAAGUCCAUCAAAUCUCAAUUCAAAUUCAGUCUCCUCAGUAACAUACUAGGAUAACCUUAUCUCAGCACCAGCCCAUUACAAAAUAGGGAAAGAAAAUGUAUAAUUGGAAUAU
rnacentral:misc_RNA from 1 species